ACAAUGCUCUAAAUUAGCAUCAUAAUCAUAACCAUCAAGUUAAGCUUAAUUUUUGCUUGCUAUUUCAUUUUUCAUUUGUAGACUCAAAUCAUCUUAUCUACCUUCUAUUAAAGAACCAGAAAAGAAAAGGAAAGAUCUAUUUUCAGUAGUCCCAGAUCAACCAAAUCAUGAAAAAGAAUUAAACAAGGAAAUACAGUGAUGUCAAAGACAGAUCCUGUCCGAUAAAGAACUGACUGUCAGAGACUAAUAUGGAAAAACUACAGAACAAUGCUGUUGUUUCAUGAGAUAAGGAAUCAGCUCUGUCAGGAGGAAGAGCAACGCAACUCUGAACAGGAGCAGAUGAGGAGUGAGAUCUCUGACCUAACACAGGCACUUCAUCAGAAGGAGAUCACCAUAGCAACCAUCAUGAAGAAAGCUGCCCUCCUGGAAAGACAGUUAAAGAUGGAAUUAGAAAUAAAAGAAUAAAUGUUAGCAAAGCAACAGGUCUCAGAUAUGAGAUAUAAAGCUGUCAGAACAGAAAACACGCAUCUAAAAGGAAUGAUGGGAGAUUUAGACCCUGGACGGUACAUGGUUAUCACAGCCUCCACUGAGCCUACUUCACUGAUUCCUACAGACUUUGACUUUGCUCAUUUAUUAUUUAAAGCGACAUUUUUGUUUAAGAUAGCUAUUCAAGGGAGUUCAUUAUGAAAUUUACAUGUAUAUGUGUAUUAUAAUCAAACUGGUUCAUCCCCUCCAUUUUUCUUUUCACCUUAGUCCCCUUAUAGUUAUUUCAAAAGGAUUAAAAAUCCAUUUUCAUUCUUGUAUAGAAAGUACAUCAACCAUUUCACCUUCUUUACCUCCUUCUUUUAUUCUCCCUCUCCCAUUACCGACCUCCCAUUAGCAUGACCUGUUUUUCAUUCUUGUCCUUCAUUGUUCAGUGGGACUUUUGCCUUGGUAUUUUAUACCACACCUGGCUUGUUCUUUUCUUCUUUUCACCCUCCCUUAUUCUCUUCUAACAGUCCCACUUUUGG
rnacentral:lncRNA from 1 species